rnacentral:rRNA from 1 species
UAGAUACCCUAGUAUGUUAUUAUAUAAACUUAUAAGUAAUAUUAAAGAAACUAAAAAACCUUGACGGUUAGAAUUAAAUUUUAGAGGAGUUUGUCUCCCAGAAUUUACUCUCUAUAUUUUUAAAAAUUUAAAGUUUAUUAAUCUCCGUUAUUAAGAUACUAACAUUUUUAUCACCUCAAGAUAUUAUUACCUUAUAUUUCAGGUCAAGAUGUAACUAUAAUUUUUCAAAGAUUAACUACAAUAAUAUAAUAUGUGGACAAAGUUUAUCAGCCUACCUUUUAAAAAUGGAUUUAAUUGUAAUUUUUUUUACCAUAAACUUAUGAAAAAUAAAUUCUAAUGCACAGAUUGCCCGUCACCCCUUAUGAACAAAAUAAGGGUAAGUCGUAACAAA